rnacentral:lncRNA from 1 species
ACAAAUAUUCACAUUUAAUAUUUCAAACAAUAAAAUUAUUCCAAAUCUUUGAAGCAUAUAAUCAACAACCUCUUAGUUAACUGAAUCAUAUGCAUUUUCAAAAUCCAUCUUAUAAAUUUAACAAUCUUUGAAGCAUAUAAGUUCACCACCCCAUUCAUCACGAGAACCUCAAUGAAUCCAUCACCUUUCUCAAUCUAAUGGACUAACACAUUACACGAUAUAUUAGAGUUCUAUAAUUUUACAAAUAAAGAACAUUCAGAUUUUCAUUGAACAUGAGUUUGUGAUUCCAUUGAAUAUUUGAAUAUAACUGGAUCAUCUACGUUGUUACCAUAAAGCAAACGGGAAAAGAAUCUGAUUCAAAAAUACCACAUUGUCUUUAUUUAGAUCAAAGUGCAUUUUCUAGGUAGAAUCUCUCUCUAAAAUCGAAAAUAGCAAGAGUAGCUUUAUGUUCAUACUUUUCUUUUUCGUGAUUAGUGGGCAAACCCAACUUAGGUAAGGUUUCAGAUUUGAAUAUACAUACAACAACCCAUUAGCUCUUAUCUUUUGCCUUUUCUUUGUCUUUAUUAGACAACAAAACCAAUAAGAACCGCACUUAAUCAUUUGCUCUCCACGCUUCAAGUUCUUCACCAACAUUAUUUUGCUUAUUCAGCUCUUUUCUUCUGCUUUCUCUCCUAUAUAUAAUUAAUAAUUAAGUGCUCCUCUCUAGAAUCUUUCAUUUUGAAAAUAGAAGGAAACAAAGACAGAGGAAAAGCUUUACUCUCUCCAAACAUUUAUAACCAAAAACAGAUUAAAUAAAUAGUUAAUCACAUUUAAUUUAAUUUAUGCAAUUGGAAUAUAAAAAUAA